GCAGGUAUAGCUCAGUGGUAGAGUGCAUGCUUAGCAUGCAUGAGGCCCUGGGUUCAAUCCCCAGUCCCUCCA
rnacentral:tRNA from 1 species